rnacentral:rRNA from 1 species
AGGUGCGAUCAUACCAGCACUAACGUACCGGAUCCCAUUAGAACUCCGAGAUUAAGCGUGCCUAUAAAUUGAGGGCCAUUGUCGCAUACG